rnacentral:rRNA from 1 species
UACAGGGGGGGCAAGCGUUGUUCGGAAUUACUGGGCGUAAAGGGCUCGUGAGGUGCCGACUAAGUCAGACGUGAAAUCCCUCAGCUUAACUGGGGAACUGCGUCUGAUACUGGAUGGCUUGAGUUUGGGAGAGGGAUGCGGAAUUCCAGGUGUAGCGGUGAAAUGCGUAGAUAUCUGGAGGAACACCGGUGGCGAAGGCGGCAUCCUGGACCAAACACUGACACUGAGGAGCGAAAGCCAGGGGAGCAAACGGG